rnacentral:rRNA from 1 species
GAUGAACGCUGGCGGCGUGCCUAAUACAUGCAAGUCGAGCGAACGGACGAGAAGCUUGCUUCUCUGAUGUUAGCGGCGGACGGGUGAGUAACACGUGGAUAACCUACCUAUAAGACUGGGAUAACUUCGGGAAACCGGAGCUAAUACCGGAUAAUAUUUUGAACCGCAUGGUUCAAAAGUGAAAGACGGUCUUGCUGUCACUUAUAGAUGGAUCCGCGCUGCAUUAGCUAGUUGGUAAGGUAACGGCUUACCAAGGCAACGAUGCAUAGCCGACCUGAGAGGGGGAUCGGCCACACUGGAACUGAGACACGGUCCAGACUCCUACGGGAGGCAGCAGUAGGGAAUCUUCCGAAAUGGGCGAAAGCCUGACGGAGCAACGCCGCGUGAGUGAUGAAGGUCUUCGGAUCGUAAAACUCUGUUAUUAGGGAAGAACAUAUGUGUAAGUAACUGUGCACAUCUUGACGGUACCUAAUCAGAAAGCCACGGCUAACUACGUG